GAUGAACGCUGGCGCCGUGCCUAAUACAUGCAAGUCGAGCGAACAGACGAGGAGCUUGCUCCUCUGACGUUAGCGGCGGACGGGUGAGUACCACGUGGAUAACCUACCUAUAAGACUGGGAUAACUUCGGGAAACCGGAGCUAAUACCGGAUAAUAUAUUGAACCGCAUGGUUCAAUAGUGAAAGACGGUUUUGCUGUCACUUAUAGAUGGAUCCGCGCCGCAUUAGCUAGUUGGUAAGGUAACGGCUUACCAAGGCAACGAUGCGUAGCCGACCUGAGAGGGUGAUCGGCCACACUGGAACUGAGACACGGUCCAGACUCCUACGGGAGGCAGCAGUAGGGAAUCUUCCGCAAUGGGCGAAAGCCUGACGGAGCAACGCCGCGUGAGUGAUGAAGGUCUUCGGAUCGUAAAACUCUGUUAUUAGGGAAGAACAAAUGUGUAAGUAACUAUGCACGUCUUGACGGUACCUAAUCAGAAAGCCACGGCUAACUACGUG
rnacentral:rRNA from 1 species